GACGAACGCUGGCGGCGUGCUUAACACAUGCAAGUCGAACGAAGAGCGAUGGAAGCUUGCUUCUAUCAAUCUUAGUGGCGAACGGGUGAGUAACGCGUAAUCAACCUGCCCUUCAGAGGGGGACAACAGUUGGAAACGACUGCUAAUACCGCAUACGAUCUAAUCUCGGCAUCGAGGAUAGAUGAAAGGUGGCCUCUACAUGUAAGCUAUCACUGAAGGAGGGGAUUGCGUCUGAUUAGCUAGUUGGAGGGGUAACGGCCCACCAAGGCGAUGAUCAGUAGCCGGUCUGAGAGGAUGAACGGCCACAUUGGGACUGAGACACGGCCCAGACUCCUACGGGAGGCAGCAGUGGGGAAUCUUCCGCAAUGGACGAAAGUCUGACGGAGCAACACCGCGUGAGUGAUGACGGCCUUCGGGUUGUAAAGCUCUGUUAAUCGGGACGAAAGGCCUUCUUGCGAAUAGUGAGAAGGAUUGACGGUACCGGAAUAGAAAGCCACGGCUAACUACGUG
rnacentral:rRNA from 1 species